rnacentral:rRNA from 1 species
GAUGAACGCUGGCGGCGUGCUUAACACAUGCAAGUCGAACGAAGCACCCCUCCCGAAGAUUGACACAGCUUGGUGUAGAUUGUUUCAUUUGAGGUGAUUGAGUGGCGGACGGGUGAGUAACGCGUGGGUAACCUGCCUCAUAGAGGGGGACAACAGUUGGAAACGACUGCUAAUACUGCAUAGUAAGAAGAAUUCGCAUGUUUUCUUCUUGAAAGAUUUAUCGCUAUGAGAUGGACCCGCGUCUGAUUAGCUAGGUGGUAAUGUAACGGCUUACCAAGGCGACGAUCAGUAGCCGGCUUGAGAGAGUGAACGGCCACAAUGGGACUGAGACACGGCCCAAACUCCUACGGGAGGCAGCAGUGGGGAAUAUUGCACGAUGGGGGAAACCCUGAUGCAGCGGCGCCGCGUGAGUGAAGAAGUAUUUCGGUAUGUAAAGCUCUAUCAGCAGGGAAGAUAAUGACGGUACCUGACGAAGAAGCCCCGGCUAACUACGUG